UGGAAGAUUAGGAGGGUAGUAAGAUCUACCUUCCGGCUGACAUCUGAGCCCUGCUUUCAGCACGGUCAAGCCUUUCAGAGGCAGCCAGUGUAUGGCUUGUAUCAAACGCUAUAUUUAGGAAGAACAACUGUGAGCUAUGACAGGAAUUCUCUUUAACACUUAGCCUUAAAGCGAGUUCCCCUCCAGUCCGGAGCCAGGAGCAGCUCUCAAUCCCGGGUGAGGCACCGAGCACUUGAGCUAUUUCAGCCACAUGCAAAGCAUCGGAAUUGAGAUCGCAGCUCAGAGGACACCGGGCAUCCCUUUCGCCUUUUGAGGAGCCUUGUAUUCUAGCACCUGGCUGCCUGGGACUUUCCUUAGGCAGUAAACAAAUACACAAAGCAGGGAUAAGACCGCGUGAAUAUGUCGAAACAGCCCGUUUCCAAUGUCAGAGCCAUCCAGGCAAAUAUUAAUAUCCCAAUGGGAGCCUUUCGGCCAGGAGCUGGGCAACCCCCCAGAAGAAAAGAAUGUACUCCGGAAACAGAGGAGGGUGCUCCUCCCACCUCGGAUGAGGAGAAGAAGCCAAUUCCAGGAGCGAAGAAACUUCCAGGACCUGCAGUCAACCUAUCGGAGAUCCAGAAUAUUAAAAGUGAACUGAAAUAUGUCCCCAAAGCUGAACAGUAGUUGGAAGAAUAAAGAAGUUUAGAGGAGAGGAAUCUAUACUGGGGACAUAAAACAGGCCUGAUGUGAAGAACUGAAGAGGAAGAGAACGGAUUCAGAUGAAAAUAGCUCACUAAAAAAUUUUAUAUAUUUGUAUGAAGAUUAUGAACCUUCUGAAUGCCUGAGACUCUAGCAGAAAUGUCCUGUUUGUACAUUUAUAUCUCUUCCUUCUAGUUGGCUGCACUUCUUACUUUAAUUUAUCUUCAUGUUUGGCAUCUUGCAGAACAAAUAAGGUCAAGAAUUCACCAAUUCAAAGGUGUGAUUUUUGAGGACGGAUAUGAUUUUACGGGAGGGGUAUAGUAAUAUGCAUAAGAGUGAUUUUGAUGGGAAGUUCUCUAAGCUACUUCCCACACUAUUUUGGUCAAUAUUUGGAAUGUAUUUUAGUUCUUCACCUUCUAAAUUAUGUCAAUAAACUUUUUAUGAGUUCAAAUAAAUAUGCAAGUAAAUGUGAACU